UACGGAGGGUGCAAGCGUUGUUCGGAAUCAUUGGGCGUAAAGCGCGUGUAGGCGGCUUUGCAAGUCGGAUGUGAAAGCCCACGGCUCAACCGUGGAAGUGCAUCCGAAACUGCAUGGCUGGAGUCCCGGAGAGGAAGGUGGAAUGCUUGGUGUAGAGGUGAAAUUCGUAGAUAUCAAGCAGAACACCUGCGGCGAAGGCGGCCUUCUGGACGGUGACUGACGCUGAGACGCGAAAGCGUGGGGAGCAAACAGG
rnacentral:rRNA from 1 species